GAUGAAGAACCCAGCGAAAUGCGAUACGUAGUGUGAAUUGCAGAAUUCAGUGAAUCAUCGAAUCUUUGAACGCACAUUGCACCUCUCGGUAUUCCGGGAGGUAUGCCUGUUCGAGCGUCAUUUGUACCCUCAAGCUCUGCUUGGUGUUGGGUGUUUGUUCCGCCUCUGUGUGUGAACUCGCCUCAAAACAAUUGGCAGCCGGCGUACUUGUUUCGGAGCGCAGCACAUUUUGCGAUCCAGAUCAACGUACAGCGGCAUCCAAGAAGCCUUAUUUAACGCUCUUGACCUCGGAUCAGGUAGGGAUACCCGCUGAACUUAAGCAUAUCAAUAAGCGGAGGA
rnacentral:misc_RNA from 1 species